rnacentral:rRNA from 1 species
AAAGGCGAAUUAAUACCGCAUAUGGCCAGGGAAGACAUCUUCCCGAAGCCAAAGUCGCAAGACGCUUCCUGAUGAGCUCGCGGCCUAUCAGCUAGUUGGUGAGGUAACGGCUCACCAAGGCUAUGACGGGUAGCUGGUCUGAGAGGACGACCAGCCACACUGGAACUGAGACACGGUCCAGACACCUACGGGUGGCAGCAGUCGAGAAUUUUUCACAAUGGGGGAAACCCUGAUGGAGCGACGCCGCGUGGAGGAUGAAGG